AAGGGAGACCUAAUUCAGGUAGGAGACGAAAAAAAAGUAGUCGCUACCAAGAAUCAAUCCCAAAAGGUCGGAGCGAGGCGAAAUUGGCUUUCAAACUAGGUUCUGGGUUCAUACAAGACCUGAAUCAGGAACAAGGGCUAUUAGCUCAGGUGGUUAGAGCGCACCCCUGAUAAGGGUGAGGUCCCUGGUUCGAGUCCAGGAUGGCCCACCUGCACAGGUGGCAAAAACGAAGAGAAGCGAGGAAUCAGCACCUUAUCUUAUCUAUAUAUAUAUAGGAGAGAAUGCUGGCUCUGAGUAAAGAGUCCAGAGGAACCUUGAAAACUGCAUAGAGCUAGGUGAAAAAGCCAAAAAAGAAGACCGCAAGGUCAAGCUAAUAAGGGCUAACGGUGGAUACCUAGGCAC
rnacentral:tRNA from 1 species